AUUGAACGCUGGCGGCAUGCUUUACACAUGCAAGUCGAACGGCAGCACGGGAGCUUGCUCCUGGUGGCGAGUGGCGAACGGGUGAGUAAUGCAUCGGAACGUACCCAGUAGUGGGGGAUAGCCCGGCGAAAGCCGGAUUAAUACCGCAUAUUUCCUGAGGGAGAAAGCGGGGGGACCUUUGGGCCUCGCGCUACUGGAGCGGCUGAUGUCGGAUUAGCUAGUUGGUGAGGUAAAGGCUCACCAAGGCGACGAUCCGUAGCUGGUCUGAGAGGAUGAUCAGCCACACUGGGACUGAGACACGGCCCAGACUCCUACGGGAGGCAGCAGUGGGGAAUUUUGGACAAUGGGGGCAACCCUGAUCCAGCCAUGCCGCGUGAGUGAAGAAGGCCUGG
rnacentral:rRNA from 1 species